UUAUCCCUGCCGUGUUCGCGGUUUGUCAUAUUGACUUCGGGUUCGUUAAACCCACAUUUUUAAUAAGGGAUGCCGAUUUGAAUCUGCGGAUUGCAGGCCUCCCGGCUCCGGCCGGACGUUGGAAGCAGAGAAACAGAGCUUAGGCGACCCACCUGCUUUUUUGUGCAGGUUAUAAUCGAACCCCAACGGCACGGCGGGGUACUU
rfam:Firmicutes bacterium CAG:240 genomic scaffold, scf354